rnacentral:sRNA from 1 species
GCUGGGCAUGGUGGAGCACACCUGUAAUCCUAGCAGAUUGGAGGCUGAGGCAAGAGAAUCAUGAGUUCAAAGCCAGCCUCAGCAAAAUUGAGGUGCUAAGCAACUCAGUGAGACCCUGUCUCUA